rnacentral:lncRNA from 1 species
CUUAGGGGCUUCACAGUGAAUGAGCCGUUGCUACUACUCUCUCCCGGUAUAGCACCCUCACCGAAUUCCGCGGCCACACUCCCCGAAAAUAGUUUUGUCAAGUCUCCUUUCUGCAUCUUCGGCGUUAAAGACUCAACUCAGAGUCGGUAGCUGUGGCUCACGCCUGUAAUCCCAGCGCUUUGGGAGGCUGAGGCGGGCGGAUCCCCUGAGGUCAGAAGUUCGAGACCAGCCUGGCCAACAUGGUGAAAACCCCGUCUCUACUAAAAAUACAAAAAUUAGCCGAGUGUGGUGACGGGCGCCUGUAAUCCAAGCUACUCGGCAGGCUGAGGCAGGAGAAUCGCUUGAACCUUGGAGGCAGAGGUUGCAAUGAGCCGAGAUCGCCCCACUGCACUCCAGCCUGGGCGGCAAGAGUGAAACUCAUCAAAAAAAAAAAAAAAAAAAAAAAAGACUCAGCUGCUCUGUGGGGCAGAACAGCAGCCAACUCAACUUCCUGUAAAAGCUCAUGCUGGUAGCUCGGAACUGCCAAGGGACCUAGGAGGCUCCAGACUUGACCCAGCUGGUGAACGGUCGACUUGGCCAAGGCUGAGUUCUACCGCACAUUUUUAACGUGGCUCCGCCUCACUUUAAGGAAGCCUGGUACUUUACUCCCCAGAAAAUGCUUCUAGUCAAAAGAAAUUUGGCUUAUGAGAAACCUCCCCGCAGUUUAAAAAAAGAGGUCUUUCUCCAGUAUUUAUAGCACUUAAUUUUCAAAAAUGCAGUAUCUUUUCAGGUACACUGUGCUGUAUCAAAGUAUUCAAAAAUGCGUCAGCUGUGCCAGGGAGCCUACCCUCUGAUGGUCUGGAUCUCCUCGCCGUGAUAUGGACCAGUGCUGCUUAAACUUUAAUGAGCACAUAAAAAACACUCGAGGCUCUUAUUAAAAAUGCAGAUUGUGGCAGGGCCCAGGACUCUGCAUUUGUAACAAGCUGCCAGCGAUGCUGUUGCUUCUCAGACCACACUGUCAAGAAGCCGGGAUCUAGACUUUUUUUUUUUUUUAGUUUUUUUACUAUAAUUGCUUUAUUUUUCCAGCCCCAACCAAGUAAUACUUCCUUCCUUGCAUCAUAGCACCCCAGAUCUUUUUUACAGUAUAGUUCUCCAGUGCUUUUUAGAAAUUAGUUCUCCUCAUGCCUCUAGUGAUAAACACCGCUGCUGCUGUUUUCUUACCUCCUGAACUUAGAGAUCCCACUCUAUUGCCCCAAGAGUCGAUAACCUGUCAGUCUGGGGACUGGCCACUGGAAUUGUUAAAGUCACUGAAUCAUGGCCCCUCCCAUCCCUGUAAAGUGGGUUAAGAGUUCAUGAUAAGGCAGCUAAUAUCCAUUUCAAUCCUUUUAAGCUUCUAGAACAACAGUAAUUCUCAAAGUGAUAGGGGCAGUGGAGAAUCAGAGUCCUCUGGGAAGCUACUCCAAAAUACCUCCGCCAGCCACCCCUC